rnacentral:rRNA from 1 species
CAGUCGCCGCGGGAAUACGUAGGUGGCAAGCGUUGUCCGGAAUUAUUGGGCAUAAAGCGCGCGCAGGUGGUUUAAUAAGUCUGAUGUGAAAGCCCACGGCUCAACCGUGGAGGGUCAUUGGAAACUGUUAAACUUGAGUGCAGGAGAGAAAAGUGGAAUUCCUAGUGUAGCGGUGAAAUGCGUAGAGAUUAGGAGGAACACCAGUGGCGAAGGCGGCUUUUUGGCCUGUAACUGACACUGAGGCGCGAAAGCGUGGGGAGCAAACAGGAUUAGAUACCCCUGUAGUCCCUGUCUCUUAUAC